UCACAUUCUGAACAGACGCCAAUAAGAUCUCAUUGCGAACAGAUGAAAUUUAUGUUUUGCAUCCUUUUGAAACCAUUCUGAGAAAAUGACCUUUUCUCAGCAGCCAACAUCCGAUUUCAGCAAAAGAAGAACAGACAAUUCUCACCAACCUUGAUUCUUCUCUAGCAAAACAUGCGUCAAUAUUGAUUUACCCUAUGGCAGCCAUCGUGCAAGAGUUGUAAGUUCCCACCUAUUUACUUUAUGCACAAUUUGAAUUUGUUCGCCAACCUUUAUUAUGGCCGAUUAAGAUCCCUACCCUGUCAAAGUUCUGCUAGUCAAAACAGGUAAGAAUCUUAUAAGGCGACGUCCUCCCCACUGCUUCUUUGUGAAUCUCUUGGUACUCACAUUAACUUACGAUUGAUCACUGUAACGGAAAACUGGCAAAUAUUAUUUACAUUGUUGGUCUGGAACAUAAUUGAGUUGAACUGCUGCCUGCAAAUUAAAGUGUACAGGACACUCAUUAACGUUGGUCCUUCCCCUUGAGCGACCAACUGCUGUUUGUUCAAAGGGAUAAAAUAACACCCUGUCGUCACAACCAUAUUAUUUGCCCUAUAUAGCUUACAAAUGUGAUUAUGUUUACAACAAUUUGAACCGGUUAUUCACUUACGUCCAUCUCAACAUUGAUAAUACUCAAUCCCUUUUUACUGUUAA